rnacentral:rRNA from 1 species
GUCCGUGAUUAUACAGAUGUGGAAACGCCUUGUUCCAUCCCGAACCAAGAAGCUAAGCGCAUCGUGGGUGAUGAUACUACGCCUUACUGGCAGGGGGAAAGU